rnacentral:ncRNA from 2 species
UAUACUUGCAGCUGUAUUGGUUUUUAUCACCUGUGGGUGAUGAGAUUAAAAGGGAAUUCCGGUGUAACUCCGGAGCAGUUCCCGCUACUGUAAUCCCGACUUUAGGUAUACUAAAGUCUGUGCUCGUGCAAGAAAAGUCAUUAUUCAUAAAUCGAUGAAUGAGAAGGCAAGCAAGAGCUGGGAAAGCCAGGAGACCUGCCACUACAAACAAAUUCAA